rnacentral:rRNA from 1 species
GGAGGGCGGUAUUUAUUAGAUAACAAGCCAAUAUUCCUCUGGUCUAUUGUGGUGACUCAUAGUAACUGAUCGAAUCGCAAGGCCUAUGGCCGCGAUAAGUCAUUCAAGUUUCUGCCCCAUCAGCUUUCGAUGGUAGUGUAUUGGACUACCAUGGCGUUUACGGGUAACGGAGGAUUAGGGUUCGAUUCCGGAGAGGGAGCCUGAGAAACGGCUACCACAUCUAAGGAUGGCAGCAGGCGCGUAAAUUACCCAAUCCUGAUUCAGGGAGGUAGUG